rnacentral:rRNA from 1 species
UAGGGAAUCUUCCGCAAUGGGCGAAAGCCUGACGGAGCAACGCCGCGUGAGUGAUGAAGGUCUUCGGAUCGUAAAACUCUGUUAUUAGGGAAGAACAAAUGUGUAAGUAACUAUGCACGUCUUGACGGUACCUAAUCAGAAAGCCACGUCUAACUACGUGCCAGCAGCCGCGGUAAUACGUAGGUGGCAAGCGUUAUCCGGAAUUAUUGGGCGUAAAGCGCGCGUAGGCGGUUUUUUAAGUCUGAUGUGAAAGCCCACGGCUCAACCGUGGGGGGUCAUUGGAACAUGGAAAACUUGAGUGCAGAAGAGGAAAGUGGAAUUCCAUGUGUAGCGGUGAAAUGCGCAGAGAUAUGGAGGAACACCAGUGGCGAAGGCGACUUUCUGGUCUGUAACUGACGCUGAUGUGCGAAAGCGUGGGGAUCAAACAGG